GCCGGGAGCCCGCACACCCCAGAAGGCCACGCCCCUCCCUGAGGCUGAGAGUUUGGCACCUGCUGUAGGGUAGGCCAGCGAGGCCACGCCCGUCAGCGAGCCGGGCGAGACACGCCCCGCGGGUUCCCGCCGGCCUACGUCCCGGAAGUUUUGAAAAGGGGGUCCUGGGACCCCUGGAGACCAAGUUCCCCUCAGUGUGAGGACUCCGCCCCCCGGCCAAGGUUCGGGGCUGAAGAAGCGACUUCAAAGCCCUUAGCGGCGGCUCGGGACGGCGGGGUCCGAGAGGAAGGGACGGGCCAGAAAUCCAUGUGUCCCCAGGACUUCCCUGGUGGCACAGUGGUUAAGAAUCUGCCUGCCAAUGCAGGGGACAAGUGUUCGAGCCCUGGUCCGGAAGAUCCCACAUGCCGCGGAGCAACUAAGCCUGUGCGCCACAACUGCUGACCCGCGUGCCACAACUACUGAAGCCCGCGCGCCUAGAGCCCAUGCUCUGCAACAAGAGAAGCUCCCGCUCGCCACAACUAGAGAAAGCCUGCGUGCAGCAAUGAAGACCCAACACAGCCAAAAAUAAAUAACUCUAUUGAGAUAUAAUCGACAAACAAUAAACUGCACAUAUUUAAAAUGUACAAUUUGGGGACUUCCUUGGUGGCACAGUGGUUAAGAAUCCGCCUGCCAAUGCAGGGGACACGGGUUCGAGCCCUGGUCUGGGAAGAUCCCACAUGCCACGGAGCAACUAAGCCCGUACGCCACAACUACUGAGGCUGCGAGCCACAACUACUGAAGCCUGCACGCCUGGAGCCCAUGUUCCACAACAAGAGAAGCCACCGCAAUGAGAAGCCUGCGAACUGCAAUGAGAAGCCCAUGAACCUCCACAAAGAGUAGCCCCUGCUCACCACAACUAGAGAAAGCCCACACGCAGCAAUGAAGAUGCAACACAGCAAAAAAAAGAAAAAAGAAAAAAAUUUUUUUUAUGAAAUAAAAUGUACAAUUUGGUAAGUCAAAAGAUUUUUUUAAUUGAUGUAUAACUGACAUGUAACAUUAAUUUCUGGUGUAUAACAUAAUGAUUCUAUAUUUGUAUAUAUUGCAAAAUAAUUACCACAGUAAGUCAGGUUAACAUCCAUAAUCUGAUAAGUUUUGACAUAUGUAUACACCCAUGAAACUCUCCCCAGAAUCAAAAUAAUGAACACAUCCAUCACCCGCAGUGUUUCCUUGUACCUCUUUGUAAUUCGUCUCUUCAGCCUCUAGGCAACCACUGAUCUGAUUUCGGUCAUUAUGGGCCAGUUUGCAUUUUUUAGAAUUUUAUGCAAAUGAAAUCAUACAGAGCAUACUCUUUUUGUCUGGGUUUCUUUUACUUACUGUAAUUAUUUUGAGAUUCAUGUAUGUUGUUGCGUGUAUUACGAGUUCAUUCAUUUUUGUUGGGAAAUAUCAUUGAUUUGAUUAUCAAUAGUAAUUAGUUUGAUUAUCCAUUCUCCUGUUGAUGGAUAUCUGGGUUAUUUCCAGUUUGGGGCCAUUACAAAUAAAGCUGCCAGGAACAUUCACAUACAAGUCUUUGUAAGGACAUGUAUGCUUUUAUUUCUCUUGGAAAAUACCUAGGAGUAGAACGGCUGGAUUAUAUGAUAGGUGUGUGUGUAACUUUUUUUGUGUGUGUGUGAGUAAACCAGGCUUUUACUGCUCACAAGGUCAUUUCUGAGUUGCAAACAAUUUUUCCCUAUAUUUCCCCCACUCAGUCUGGGCUGCCACAAUCAGACAGACAGAAAGUGCCAGGACACUUUUUUCUUGCAUCUGUAGUGGAAACCUUAGCAGCAGACAGUAGUGUGUAAUUUUUUAUGAAUCGGCCAAACUGUUUUCCAAAGUGGUUGUCCCAUUUCACAUUCCCACCAGCAAUGUCUGAAAGUUCCAGUUCUUCCACACCCUCACCAACACUUAAGAUGGUCAAUCUUUUAAAAUUCAGAAUGGGCUAUAUGAGAUUUUAAUCAAAUAACAAUUUGCUUCGAUUUCUAAUAUUUGUCAGUUCAGUAGGUGAAAGGUGAUAUCUUACUGCAGUUUUCUGUGAUUACUUAACGGCUUGGAGCAUCCCUUUAAACGCUUGUUAGCACUUUGACCGUCUUUAUUCUGCAGAUUCCCUCCUUGUAUUCUCUGCCCAUUUUCUCUUGGAAUAUUUUUCUUGUUGAUGGGCAAGACAUUUAAACAAAUAAUAUCAGUUCUUUGUCAGAUUUGGACAUUGCAAAUAUUUUCUCUUGUUGUAUCGGCUGCCUAUUAAUUUUUCUUCGGUGAACUUCAUUUGAUAGAAAUCCUUAAAUUUGGUGUAAUCAGAAUGACCAAUUUUCCCUUUAGGGUUUGUGAUUUUGAAAUUUUGCAUAUGUUCUUUUCCAUCUCUGCAUCACAAAUUCACCUUUUCUUCCAUAACUUUAUAGUUUUACUCUUGAUAUUUAGCUCUUUUGAAUCCAUCUAGAGUUCAUCCUUGUUUUGGGUGUUAGGGAUCCAAUUUAUUUUCCUCAUAUUGAGCCACAUUUACCACAUGUCCGAUUCUGAUAUAUACAAGUGUCUGUCUCUGGUAUUCUGUUCCAUUGGUGUAUCUGUCCUUGCACUAAUACUAUACUGUUAUUGUUGCUGGAUGCUUUGUAGCAAGUUUAAAUUUCUGGAAGGGCAAGAUCCCUCUUGUUACUCUUACCACUCAGCGUCAACUUUUUUUUUAAUUAAUUAAUUUAUUUAUUUAGGCUGUGCUGGGUCUUAGUUGCAGCACGUGGGAUCUUCAUUGUGGCAUGUUUAGUGAGGGAUCCUUAGUUGUGGCAUGUGCACUUCUUAGUUGUGGCACGUGAACUCUUAGUUGCAGCGUGCAUGUGGGAUCUAGUUCCCCGAGCAGGGAUCGAACUUGGGAGCGUGGAGUCCUACCCACUGGACCACUGGAGAAAUCCUCCCUCUCAGUGUCAACUUAACCAUUUGUGUUUUUUUGUUCUUUUUCUUAUUGCUCCAAACAAAUUUGAGGGUAAACUUAUCAAGAUCUUUCAAAAACCCUCCCCCAAAACAAAAAACAACCACCAGAUGAAUUUUUAUGGGUAAUAUAUCAAAUUGUAAGUUAUUCUGGGGACAAGUGAUAUCUUUAUAAUGUUAAGUCAUCCCAUUUAAGAGCAUGGACUAUCUCUCUGUUUAUUCAAGUCAUCUUCUGUUUUUUAGUAGAAUUAAAUUUUUUCUUCCACCGAGGUCUUAUGAAUACUUGGUUUCCUAGAUGCUUCAUAAUUUUUGUCAGUGAUGCAAACUGAGUGGUUUUUUUGUUUGUUUUUUUGUGAUACACGGGCCUCUCACUGUCGUGGCCUCUCCCGUUGCAGAGCACAGGCUCCAGACGCGCAGGCUCAGCGGCUAUGGCCCACGGACCCAGCCGCUAUGUGGCAUGUGGGAUCUUCCCGGACUGUGGCACGAACCCGUAUCCCCUGCAUCGGCAGGCGGACUCUCAACCACUGCGCUACCAGGGAAGCCCGUAAUGUAUUACUCUUUAAAAACAUUUUUAACAUUUGGUUAAGUAAUAUUUUAUUAAUGAUGUUUGCAUCUGUAUUUAUAAAUGAAAUGGGCCUAUAAUACUUAUAUUACCCUUAACUGAUUUCAGAGGCAAGAGUAACGUAGCCUCAGAAAAUGAGUUGGUCACUUUUUCACUCCUUCUCCAGAUCUGUAUCUCAAAAUGCACUCCAGGCUGAGUCAUAGGAGAUUAUCUGGACCAGCAUCCUGUUUCCCAAGCAGGCAAAAUAUUAUCAUUCCUAUUUUAUAGAUGAGGCAACUGAGGCCCAAGAAUAAAUUCCUGAAUGGGGUGGAAUUGGAACCUGGAAUAUUUUAACUGCCUUGGGUGUAUAACUUCUUGGUCUGACCAGUAAAAUAAUCACCAGUGACCUGUAUAAUAAUGAGUUUUUGAGUUAUAAUACAUAAUAUUAAAAUAA